rnacentral:tRNA from 1 species
CGCGGGGUGGAGCAGUCCGGUAGCUCGCUGGGCUCAUAACCCAGAGGUCGUUGGUUCAAAUCCAACCCCCGCUACCA